rnacentral:rRNA from 1 species
GUAGUUUGAUAUUGAGUGUCUGUACCGCAUGUACAGGAUAGGUAGGAGCCGUAGAAGUCGGAACGCUAGUUUCGAUGGAGGCGCUGGUGGGAUACUACCCCUGCGUUAUGGCCACUCUAACCCGCACCACUUAUCGUGGUGGGAGACAGUGUCAGAUGGGCAGUUUGACUGGGGCGGUCGCCUCCUAAAGAGUAACGGAGGCGCCCAAAGGUUCCCUCAGAAUGGUUGGAAAUCAUUCGAAGAGUGUAAAGGCAGAAGGGAGCUUGACUGCGAGACCUACAAGUCGAGCAGGGACGAAAGU